GCACAUGUAUACAUAUGUAACAAACCUGCACGUUGUGCAAAUGUACCCUAAAACUUAAAGUAUAAUAAUUAAAAAAUUAAAAAUAAAACUAAAUUCCUAGAAAUAAAAGCAUUUUGAACAUAAAAAAAAAAAAAAAGAAAAUGUGAGAAGAAGCUACUUCAGACAAACAUGAAAUUAUCACUCCAAAAGGCUAAGGUUAUAUUCCCUCUGCAAGGAGAAGGAAGACAGUUUAAACACAGGAAAAUAGAUUUUGACAUAUAAACACUGUCUUAGUCCAUUCUGUGUUGCAAUAGAAUACCUGAGGGGCUGGGUACUUUAUUUUUAAAAAUUUAUUUCUUACAGUUCUGGAGGGUGGGAAUUCCAAAGUCAAGCAGCCACAUCUGGUGAGGGCCUUCUUUUUUUUUUAGAUGGAGUUUUGCUCUUGUUGCCCAGGCUGGAGUACAAUGGCAUGAUCUCAGUUCACUGUAGCCUCCACUUCAUGGACUCAAACAAUUCUCCUGCUUCAGCCUCCAAAGUAGCUGGGAUUACAGGUGCGCACCACCAAGCCUGGCUGAUUUUUGUAUAUUUAGUAGAGACGGGGUUUCACCAUGUUGGCCAGGCUGGUCUCAAACUCCUGACCUCAAGUGAUUCGCCCGCCUCAGCCUCCCAAAGUGCUGGGAUUACAGGUGUCAGCCACUGUGCCUGGCCGACAGCAUUUAUUAAUAUGCAAAAUAGGUAAAUGAAAUAUUGCCUAUGUUAAACAAAAUAAUCUUUGUUUUUAACAAACAAGGCAAACAAUCUCACAAAGGUUUCUUCCCUUUGUGUUCUGAGGCACCUCCCAAAUGAACAAUCUUGUUAUUAUCAAAAGUUCCACCAAAUGGCUACGGCAAUUACAAACUGUCCCUGGUGAAAUUGUGUCAGUUACAGAUAUAUGGGUACAUGUUAUUGCAAUCGUGAGAAAACAUGAAGGGAGCAGGUCUUUGGCCCAAUUUUAGUUGUGACUGGGGUCUAAAAGAAUGGUGCUUAUACAACUUCGUAUCUCUAGAAUGUGGCCAAACACCAUCGCUGAUCAGAGGCCAGAGAAAGCCCCCUGAUACUGAGCAGAAGAAAUGAAACAAAGCAGUUUGCAAGGACAUAGACAAAACCAAAGAAAUCCUUUUCAAGGCUUUGAAAUGGUGACCUGGGGCUGGGCGUGGUGGCUCAUGCCUGUAAUCCCAACACUUUGGGAGCCAGAGGUGGGUGGAUCACCUGAGGUCAGGAGUUCGAGACUAACCUGGCCAACAUGGUGAAACCCUGUCUCUAUCAAAAAUACAAAAAUUAGCCGGACAUGGUAGCAGGCACCUGUAAUCCCAGCUACUCAGGAGGCUGAGGCAUGAGAAUCACUUGAACCCGGGAAGUGGAGGUUGCAGCUGAGCUGAGAUUGUCCUAUUGCACUUCAGCAGGCAACAAGAGUAAAACUCUGUCUCAAAAAACAAAAACAAAAAAGAAAUGGUGACCUGGGCAAAGUUUACCCAAAGGACAUUAGUCUGAGAAUACCUUCCGAAUUGUACAGUCUCUGGAGCUGGUUGUAGGACACACUUACUGGCUCUUGGUUGCUGGAGUGAUUUCUCUGGUUAAUUCUGAUAACAAAUAAGACUCUCGGAUGCUAACUAGUUGCACAACCCCUCAACAGUUGGCAUCCCUACCUUCCUAGAGGGAUAAGUUGUGUUCGGUCACCAGAGAUUCAGCAAUAAUAGGUUUGUGAUGCCCUUAGACAUCCGAGGCUACACAUCCAUCCUUUUUAUAUCGACUUUGCCUCUUAUAGACAAACAAUAUUCAAAAUACUAGACAAGAAAACACCAUAGGAAUGAGUGUAGAAGGACAGAAAACAAUUGCACCAAGGACAAAAUAAAUAUUUGAUCAGAUAACCAAAAAUCCAGUGUGGGGGCCUUAUUCCAGGAGUAAAAAAACUGAAAAACCAAAUAAACCCAAUGCUUGGCAGGGCAUGGUGGCUCACAUCUAUAAUCCCAGCACUUUGGGAAGCCAAGGUGGGAGGAUUGCUUUGAGCUCAGGAGUUUGAGACCAGCCUGGGUAACAGAGUGAAACCCUAUCUCUACAAAAAAAUAUAUAUAUAAAACUUAACCGGCAUUCCUGGGUGUGGUGGCUCAUGCCUGUAAUCCCAGAACUUUGGGAGGCCAAGGUGAGCAGAUCAUGGGGUCAGGAGUUUGAGACCAGCCUGACCAACAUGGAGAAACCCCAUCUUUGCUAAAAAUACAAAACUUAGCCAGGUGUGGUGGCGCAUGCCUGUAACCCUAGCUACUCAGAAGGCUGAGGCAGGAGAAUUGCUUGAACCCGGGAGGCAGAGCUUGCAGGGAGCAGAGAUAGCGCCACUGCACUCCACUCUGGGAGACAGAGCGAGACUCUGUCCCCCGCCAAAAAAAAAAAAAAAAAUUAACCGGCAUUGGUUAAUUUUAGUGCCAGCUACUCAGGAGGCUGAAACUGGAGAAUCACUUGAGCUGGGAAGCAGAGGUUGCAGUGAGCUGAGUCGUAC
rnacentral:lncRNA from 10 species